AGGACGAACGCUGGCGGCGUGCUUAACACAUGCAAGUCGAGCGGAAAGGCCCUUCGGGGUACUCGAGCGGCGAACGGGUGAGUAACACGUGAGUAAUCUGCCCCUAGCUCUGGGAUAGCUCCGGGAAACCGGGAUUAAUACCGGAUACGACCACCUUAGACAUCUUUUGUGGUGGAAAGAAUUUCGGCUAGGGAUGAGCUCGCGGCCUAUCAGCUUGUUGGUGGGGUAACGGCCUACCAAGGCGACGACGGGUAGCCGGCCUGAGAGGGCGACCGGCCACACUGGGACUGAGACACGGUCCAGACUCCUACGGGAGGCAGCAGUGGGGAAUCUUGCACAAUGGGCGAAAGCCUGAUGCAGCGACGCCGCGUGGGGGAUGAAGCUUCUCGGAGUGUAAACCCCUUUCGACCCGGACGAAUACCUCGUAAGAGGGGUGACGGUACGGGUAUAAGAAGCCCCGGCUAACUACGCGCCAGCAGCCGC
rnacentral:rRNA from 1 species